rnacentral:rRNA from 1 species
AUUGAACGCUAGCGGGAUGCCUUACAAAUGCAAGUCGAACGGAGUGGCGAACGGGUGAUUAAUGUAUCGGAACGGUACCAGUAGCGGGGGAUAACUACGCGAACGCGUAGCUAAUACCGCAUACUAUUGGAGCGGCCGAUAUCGGAUUCGCUAGCUGGUGGGGUAACGGCUAACCAAGGCGACGUGCCGUAGCUGGUUUGAGAGGACGCCCAGACACACUGGGACGGAGACACGGCCCAGACUCCUACGGGAGGCAGCAGUGGGGAAUUUUGGACAAUGGGGGAAACCCUGAUCCAGCCAUCCCGCGUGUGUGAUGAAGGCCUUCGGGUUGUAAAGCACUUUUGGCAGGAAAGCGGUACCUGCAGAAUAAGCACCGGCUAACUACGUGCCAGCCGCCGCGGUAAUAC